CUUAAUCUUCAGAAAAUAUCUUGGUUAUUCUUUGUCCUUUUUUUCUUUCCAUAUGAAUUUUCAGAUCAGCUUAUAAGCUUUUCACAAACCCCUGUUGAAAUUUUGAAUGUAAUUGAAGCUUCAGAGUUCUCUAACAGGAAUUUUCCCACUUCAUUUUCCAGAAGAAACUCUAAAGGAGAAAAUACAUCAUUUCAUUAAGUAUCGCGCAUCUCAGGAAACCAAUAUCCAGUAGUUGCUGUCUAAAUACCAAAAGCUUCUGCACGUGAGAUAUCAGGUUCAAUGUUUUCACUUCCUCCCAGGUAUACAGUGACUCACGGGAUGAAGCAGGAGCACAGUGCACUGAUGGAAACAACUAUAAAGUGGUGUUUAUGAAGUUGCCUAGACAAGGAUAUAAUGAGGUUGGGUUUUGAAAUUUCCUUCCUAUUGGAGUUACAUUAUAAAGCACAAGGUUAAAUUCAAGUCUUCAGAGUGAUGAUGAAAAUUUACAACUCUCAGGGACAAUUUUAG
rnacentral:lncRNA from 1 species